UACGUAGGGGGCAAGCGUUGUCCGGAUUUAUUGGGCGUAAAGAGCGUGUAGGCGGCCUUACAGGUCAGCUGUGAAAACUCGAGGCUCAACCUCGAGACGUCGGUUGAAACCGUAUGGCUAGAGUCCGGAAGAGGAGAGUGGAAUUCCCGGUGUAGCGGUGAAAUGCGCAGAUAUCGGGAAGAACACCCGUGGCGAAGGCGGCGAGCUGGACCACUACUGACGCUGAAGAACGAAAGCUAGGGGAGCAAACAGG
rnacentral:rRNA from 1 species